rnacentral:rRNA from 1 species
GCGUGGAUGAAGAAGGCCCUAGGGUUGUAAAGUCCUUUCGUUGGUGAAGAUAAUGACGGUAACCAAAGAAGAAGCCCCGGCUAAUUUCGUGCCAGCAGCCGCGGUAAUACGAAAGGGGCUAGCGUUGUUCGGAAUUACUGGGCGUAAAGCGCACGUAGGCGGCGAUGUAAGUUAGAGGUGAAAUCCCGGGGCUCAACUCCGGAACUGCCUUUAAAACUACAUGGCUAGAGGAUGUGAGAGGAUAGUGGAAUUCCGAGUGUAGAGGUGAAAUUCGU